GGGGACGUAGUGAAAUGGCUAUCAUAGGAAUCUCCAAAAUUUCUGUUCCAGGUUCGAAUCCUGGCGUCCCCGCCA
rnacentral:tRNA from 1 species